rnacentral:rRNA from 1 species
UACAGAGGGGGCAAGCGUUGUUCGGAAUUACUGGGCGUAAAGGGCGCGUAGGUGGCCUUCUAAGUUGAACGUGAAAUCCCUCGGCUUAACCGGGGAACUGCGUCUGAUACUGGAUGGCUUGAGGUUGGGAGAGGGAUGCGGAAUUCCAGGUGUAGCGGUGAAAUGCGUAGAUAUCAGGAGGAACACCUGUGGUGUAGACAGCUUACUGGACCACUUCUGACGCUGAGACACGAAAGCGUGGGUAGCAAACAGG